GCGGUAGUAGCUCAGUUGGAAGAGCGUCGCGUUGCCAACGCGAAGGUUCGUCGGUUCGAUCCCGGCCUGCCGCA
rnacentral:tRNA from 1 species